AUUGAACGCUGGCGGCAGGCCUAACACAUGCAAGUCGAGCGGAGUGGCGGACGGGCGAGUAAUGCCUAGGAGUCUGCCUGGCAGUGGGGGAUAACGUCCGGAAACGGGAGCGAAUACCGCAUACUAUCAGAUGAGCCUAGGUCGGAUUAGCUAGUUGGUGGGGUAAAGGCCUACCAAGGCAACGAUCCGUAACUGGGCUGCGAGGGUGAUCAGUCACACUGGAACGGAGACACGGUCCAGACUCCUACGGGAGGCAGCAGUAGGGAAUAUUCGGCAAUGGGCGAAAGCCUGACCCAGCCAUGCCGCGUGUGUGAAGAAGGUCUUCGGAUUGUAAAGCUCUGUAAGUUGGGAAGCGUUACCAACAGAAUAAGCACCGGCUAACUUCGUGCCAGCAGCCGCGGUAAUAC
rnacentral:rRNA from 1 species